CCUACGGGGGGCUGCAGUAAGGAAUAUUGGACAAUGGACGAAAGUCUGAUCCAGCCAUGCCGCGUGAAGGAUUAAGGUCCUCUGGAUUGUCAACUUCUUUUAUAUGGGGCGAAAAAAGGGCAUUCUUGCUCACUUGACGGUACCAUAUGAAUAAGCACCGGCUAACUCCGUGCCAGCAGCCGCGGUAAUACGGAGGGUGCAAGCGUUAUCCGGAUUUACUGUGUUUAGAGGGUUCGGUGGCUGAGUGGUGAAAUCCUGGAGCUUAACUCCAGAACUGCCAUUGAUACUAUCUAUCUUGAAUAUUGUGGAGGUUUGCGGAAUAUGUCAUGUAGCGGUGAAAUGCUUAGAUAUGACAUGGAACACCUAUUGCGAAGGCAGCAGGCUACACAUAUAUUGACGCUGAGGCACGAAAGCGUGGGGAUCAAACAGGAUUAGAUACCCCUGUAGUC
rnacentral:rRNA from 1 species